UACGGGGGGGGUAAGCGUUGUUCGGAAUUACUGGGCGUAAAGGGCUCGUAGGCGGCCAACUAAGUCGGACGUGAAAUCCCUCAGCUUAACUGGGGAACUGCGUCCGAUACUGGAUGGCUUGGAUUUGGGAGAGGGAUGCGGAAUUCCAGGUGUAGCGGUGAAAUGCGCAGAUAUCGGGAAGAACACCCGUGGCGAAGGCGGCUCUCUGGGACGGUACUGACGCUGAGACGCGAAAGCGUGGGGAGCGAACAGG
rnacentral:rRNA from 1 species